rnacentral:rRNA from 1 species
AUUGAACGCUGGCGGCAUGCUUUACACAUGCAAGUCGAACGGUAACAGGCCUUCGGGUGCUGACGAGUGGCGAACGGGUGAGUAAUGCAUCGGAACGUACCCAGAGGUGGGGGAUAACGCAGCGAAAGCUGUGCUAAUACCGCAUGUGAUCUGAGGAUGAAAGCGGGGGACCGAGCAGCAAUGUUUGGCCUCGCGCCUUUGGAGCGGCCGAUGUCGGAUUAGCUAGUUGGGGGGGUAAAGGCCUACCAAGGCGACGAUCCGUAGCUGGUCUGAGAGGACGACAAGCCACACUGGGACUGAGACACGGCCCAGACUCCUACGGGAGGCAGCAGUGGGGAAUUUUGGACAAUGGGCGCAAGCCUGAUCCAGCAAUGCCGCGUGCGGGAAGAAGGCCUUCGGGUUGUAAACCGCUUUUGGCAGGAACGAAACGGUGUCCGCUAAUACCGGGCGCUAAUGACGGUAACUGCAGAAUAAGCACCGGCUAACUACGUG